AACGAACGCUGGCGGCAUGCCUAACACAUGCAAGUCGAACGAGACCUCCGGGUCUAGUGGCGCACGGGUGCGUAACGCGUGGGAACCUGCCCUUAGGUUCGGAAUACCUCCCCGUAAGGGGUGCUAAUACCGGAUAAUGUCUUCGGACCAAAGAUUUAUCGCCUUUGGAUGGGCCCGCGUUGGAUUAGCUAGUUGGUAGGGUAAAAGCCUACCAAGGCGACGAUCCAUAGCUGGUCUGAGAGGCUGAUCAGCCACGCUGGGACUGAGACACGGCCCAGACUCCUACGGGAGGCAGCAGUGGGUAAUAUUGGACAAUGGGCGAAAGCCUGAUCCAGCAAUGCCGCGUGAGUGAUGAAGGCCUUAGGGUUGUAAAGCUCUUUUACCCGGGAUGAUAAUGACAGUACCGGGAGAAUAAGCACCGGCUAACUCCGUG
rnacentral:rRNA from 1 species